rnacentral:rRNA from 1 species
UACGUAGGGUGCAAGCGUUGUCCGGAAUUAUUGGGCGUAAAGAGCUCGUAGGCGGUGUGUCGCGUCGGCCGUGAAAACCUGCAGCUUAACUGUGGGCUUGCGGUCGAUACGGGCAUCACUGGAGUUCGGCAGGGGAGACUGGAAUUCCUGGUGUAGCGGUGAAAUGCGCAGAUAUCAGGAGGAACACCGGUGGCGAAGGCGGCUCACUGGAUCGGUACUGACGCUGAGGUGCGAAAGCGUGGGGAGCAAACAGG